GGUCACCGUUCUGCCUUGAUUCGAUUUGGGAAGGAGAGUUCCCUCCCUCCCCCUGCCCGACCUCGGCCGGGGCCAAUCGCGCCAGAGCGGGUCAGAAAGUGCUGACCCCACUUCCACCUUUUCCUCUUUCAGCCCCCAAUACCAGGCCUGUUGCGGAAUGAAACCUCAUCAGCUUCGUUGAUGAUGAUGGAAUGAUGGAAAAUAGGAACCCCACAGAGGUGAGCAGAGCAUGGCUGUGGACCCUAUCAGCAGUGGUCUGAGAAUCUUCA